UACGUAGGGGGCAAGCGUUGUCCGGAUUUAUUGGGCGUAAAGAGCGUGUAGGCGGCUGGGUAGGUCCGUUGUGAAAACUCGAGGCUCAACCUCGAGACGCCGAUGGAAACCCUCCAGCUAGAGUCCGGAAGAGGAGAGUGGAAUUCCUGGUGUAGCGGUGAAAUGCGCAGAUAUCGGGAGGAACACCAAUGGCGAAGGCAGCUCGCUGGGACGGUACUGACGCUGAGGUGCGAAAGCGUGGGGAGCGAACGAGGA
rnacentral:rRNA from 1 species